UACGUAGGGUGCAAGCGUUAAUCGGAAUUACUGGGCGUAAAGCGUGCGCAGGCGGUUUUGUAAGUCUGCCGUGAAAUCCCCGGGCUCAACCUGGGAAUUGCGAUGGAGACUGCAAGGCUAGAAUCUGGCAGAGGGGGGUAGAAUUCCACGUGUAGCAGUGAAAUGCGUAGAGAUGUGGAGGAACACCGAUGGCGAAGGCAGCCCCCUGGGUCAAGAUUGACGCUCAUGCACGAAAGCGUGGGGAGCAAACAGG
rnacentral:rRNA from 1 species